GAGUAAUUCAUAAAAUAUAAAAAUAUUUUUCUGAUGGUUUCUGAAACGAAUGAGAUAGAAAUAUAUAUAUCUAGAUAUAAGUAGAUCCAUUUAAAUCAGGUCAAAAUAGCGAUCCAAUGAGAUCUACGUAUUAAGAUCUAAUUUGAUCUAUGCAUAUGUAAUGAGAUCUUUUUCAUUUUUUCCCGGGCUGAUAUAAUGCGCAUGUUAUCGUUUGGAUGGCGAACAUGUGAGCAUUCGAUCAUACCCAUGAACUAUGAUAAUACCCACUGUUAUUGCAAUAUUUAGUGCUAGUGAAGCCUUCAUGUUGCUAAGUAAGCAGCAAUUUCAAUUGUGUUAACUGCAUAAAAUAUAUACGUGUUUGUAUGCGUUUUUGCAGAGCAUUGAAUUGAAGCUCUCGUUAUUAUUUUGCGUAUGUCAUAAAGCGAGAUCGUAUGUAGGUUUUAUCAGCUGCAAGCGUUUUGCAUUGAGAGGUGAGGAAUGCGUCCCAAGCAGCACAUGUUAGCCUAAUAAUAUAUGUUUCUUAGACGUAUUAGGUCCCAAACAACCAAAUCUGUCGAGAGCAGAUCUUGCAAGUAUCUGCUACAAAGUUUGUCGGCAGAAGUAGUACAGAUUGCAUGCCGGAUUUGAUAUAUCAUAUAAUGUUGACAGAAAGCCAACAAAAGUAUAACAGAGUCUAUAUACCAUACUCACACAACAGAUUGGUGAUAGAAGUCGAACAGAGUAUGCGCACAACACCUGCGAGCGCAGAUAGACGGCAGAAACCGCGCAGAGCCUGCUAACAGAAUCUGUUGGCAGAUUGGCAGCAGAAAUCUGCCGUAAAACGAAUGGUCUGAUAUCUUCAAUAUCCUUGAAGAAUAUCUUAUGGAUGUCUUUCGGAUAUCUGUGUGCUGUUUGGUAAUAAUUAUUAAAAAUUCCUCCCUUUAAAUAAUAGAAAAAGGAGUAAAAGUUUUCAGUGACCAUUUAGAUCGCUAUUAAACAACAGACUUUGCUCGAUUUCUGCUGCCAAUCUGCCAACAGAUUCUGUUAGCAGGCCCUGCGUGGUUUCUGCCGUCUAUCUGCGCUCAGGUGUUGUGCGCGUACUCUGUUCGACUUCUAUCACCAAUCUGUUGUCUGAGUAUGUUAUAUAGACUCUAUUAUACUUUUGUUGGCUUUCUGUCAACAUUAUGAUAUAUCAAAUCCGGCAUGCAAUCUGUACUACUUCUGCCGACAAACUUCGUAGCAGAUACUUGCAAGAUCUGCUCUCGACAGAUUUGGCUGUCUGGGUAUAUACUUAUACACAUUUAUGGUACUUUCAUCUAUUGGAUUUCUUGUAUGAAUAAGAGACACCCAGAGCUUCUACAUCUAAUAUUAACGAAGAUGAAAAUGAGGUAAGACUUUAUAUUUUACAUAGAUAUUUUAUUUAGUAAUAUCACAGAUUAAUAGACAGAUAGCCAAAGGCCCGGGUUAAGGCGAGACCAGCAUUUCCGUAUUUCGAUUAUCGACACACUUUGCCCCUUACCGACAGACUCAGUGAGAAAUGCUGGUCUCGCCUUAACCCGGGCCUUUGGCUAUCUGUCUAUUAAUCUGUGGUAAUAUGAUAUAUAGAUAUUUAGUCGUUUAAUUUAUAUAAAUUAAUCAGUGUAUGAAAUUUUCUUGCCACGGGACUUUUCCUUCGUUUACAAAAUAAUUCAUGAAUUCAUUUCUGAUUUGUUUUGCCGUUCUGGGGGCAUUGCCUAGGUGAUUUCUUUGUAAAAGCUCCAUCGUUGAAUCCGAUGUUGUAAGAUUCGUUGUUGUCGAACCCUUUUCUAAAUUUUCUUAAUGUUAUAGUUGUUAUACUAUUUUUAAGUACGUUUGUAAAAUAGACUAGGAAUUUUAAAUAACUAAUAAAACUUGGAUUUUAAUGUGUCAGACAUAUUAAUAUGUAUAAAUCUAUUAUACAUCUAUAAUAAACGUUUAAUAGACAUUCAUGAUGGAUGCAGUGGAUAUCGACAAUGGCUGCUUUUCUUUUAGGAGACACAAAUCGACACAGAUUAUUACACUCGCACACAGUUUGUCACAGUACAAUGGAACGCGGUAUACGCAAAUUCUAAAUGGAAAGCGAUGUGUGUCGAUUGCGUUAAAAGUGUCGACUGUGUUGCCUAAAAGGAAAACAGCCAAUGGGAGAAUCUCUAAUGGAGAUCCACUUCAUAUCCACCGUGGAGAUAGAUGUCGCAUGGAAUUGUGGAGGUUAUAUGGAUGUCUAAUGGAUGUCAUGUUCCAUGUAGUAGUUAUACUAUGCUCUUCGUGGCGUCAUAUCCCUCAUCAAUUUGACGAUACUUUGAUAUCAAUUUGUACUUUAUCAAGUACAACGGAGUACUUGAGUGAAACGUUUUUAUUGGGUCUUAAUUCUGUUGUUCAUUUUCUUGGCUUACAUCAUCCAUCAGCAGAAUAUAGUGCAGCGAAGCGUGAGAGGCGUGGAAUUUCAUGUGGUGCGCAACAAAGUGAUAACUGAUCAGAAAAAAGCAAUUCUAGAUUGAACAUAUCGACAUGAAUAAAAGACAGAACUUUCUCUGAGAAGAGAUCAGUCCUUGUGGAGAUAAACUAACAUUUCUAUUUGAAAUUUAGUACGUUCAUGCUUUAUAUUUAGCAAUCAAAUAUUGCUACUUAGCUACUUAGCUACUUAGCUACUAUAAUCUUGUUACUUAGCAAUAUUGCAAUGUAACGAAGUUUAAUAAGUAUUUGUUUUUAUAAAAAUAUACUAUCAACAUUGUUUGUCUA